rnacentral:misc_RNA from 1 species
UUUCCGUAGGCGAACCUGCGGAAGGAUCAUUAUUGUAUAACCGAGGUGCGAGGGCUGUCGCUGACCCGAAAGGUCGUGCACGCCCGAGUGCCCUCACACACAUCCAUCUCACCCCUAUGUGCACCACCGCGUGGGUCCCCCUUUGGCUUGUUCGGAGGGGGGCUUACGCUUUCACACAAACUUUGUAUGCAGUGUAGAAUGUAUUUUUUGUUUUUGCGAUCACGCAAUCAAUACAACUUUCAACAACGGAUCUCUUGGCUCUC